GGCAACGUUGUCAUCGUUUGGACGAUACCAAGGUUGUCACGGGAUACAUAUCGUCGUUUUAAUUACAGAUCGAAAAAUUAUGAAUUUAUCGAUCUAUUAUUGGACCAUUGCGAGGUGGCGUUAUGCGCAUGCGCGGCGAGCAUGUCUAGACGCGUUGCCGAUCAAAUCAACGCCAUUUUGAAUUCGCGAAUACCGACAGGUUGCAGAAAGUAUCGUCGUCCUAAUAAUUACAGGAAUUUCUUCAGCAAAGGACGUGACAAAGACAAUCGAGAGUUCGUAUCCCUUGAAGGUCAGGAGAAAAGUCUUUUCAGUUCUAAAGAGUUUCUUCGUGCAUAUACUUAUCUACGAGGCAUCGAUUAAUUUUCUUUGAGACAAUGCUGGCAUUCUCGUCAAGUUUAAAUCUACUGCAAUUUCAACCUAUAAUUUAAUACUACAUCAUUUUUGACCUAUGUACUAUGAAUCAAUCUUUUUUAAUUUCGAUGGCCUACAAAGCGAACGAGUGUUUUGGAGCCAUCGUAGAACUUUUUAAGUAGUGAGUGAAAAAAUAUUUAAACUUUCUCUGGUACUCAUCAUGGCGAGGACGAAAGAUCCGAAUUGCUCAAGAUUUUCAGCUGACUAAAUAAUUUAUUUUAUUACGAGUACAAUUUAUUUUAGAGUACAAUUUACAUACGUAUACUUCAACAAGUUCAUUGAAAUAUUUUUUUUUCGUUUAAAUUCAAACAUAAUUUGAGAAACAUAAAUACGUCAUUAUAGCAAUGAAUUCAAUCUUUUUAAAAAGAUCAUUUGAAGUGAUCUUUUUUUUUUAAUGAUUUAUAUUAACUGACUAUGAAUUUCUUUCUAUUGACAAAAAAAAAAAAGGGAAAAAAGAAAAAAGGAAGAGAAAAAAAAUUUCCAUUUAUUUCUUUUACAAUGGAAUGCGACGAUAAGGAGUUUCUUAAGUGAGGAAAUACGCGAUGUCGGUUGUAAUGUCUUUACGAAAAGCCUAUAAACGAUUUAGCGGUAAUGGAAGAGGACAUAGUAUA